rnacentral:lncRNA from 10 species
AAGUAAUCCUUCCAUCUUGGCUUCCCAAAGUGCUGAGAUUAUAGGUGUGAGCCACUGUGCCUGGCUUUCCAGUCAAUAUUUCUUCAAAUACUUUUUCUACUUCAUUCUGUUUCUCUUCUCUUUCUGGAGCUCUAAAUAUACAUAUGUUAGACUGCUUGAUAUUAUCCCACAGGAUUUUUAGGCCCUAUUCUUCUUUUUAUUCUAAUCUUUUUUUCUUUCUGAUUAAAUAAUAUCCGUUGACUGGUCUUCAAGUUCACUGAUGAUUUCUUAUUUAUUUAUUAAUUUUUUUUUAAUGUUUCUUUUUGAGGCAGAGUCUUGCUCUGUCACCCAGGCUGGAGUGCAGUGGCGUGAUCUCAGCACAUGCAACUUCUGCCUACUUGGCUCCAGCAAUUCUCCUGCCUCGGCCUCCUGAGUAGAGGCGUGAGCCACCGCAUCCAGCCUCACUGAUUUUUUAUGUUGUGUUCAUUAUGCUGUUAAUUCCAAACUAAUGCAUUUUCAAUGUCAGAUAUUGUAUCUUUCAGUUUCAGGAUUUCCAUUCGGUUCUUUUUUAAAGUUUCCAUAGCUCUCUUAAAAUUUUCCAUCUCUUCAGCUACUACAGAUAUAUUUUCCUAUAGACUCUUUAACUUAUUAUAGUUAUUAAGUCUUUUGUAAUUCUAACAUCUGGGUCACUUGUGAGUCUAUGUUUAUCACCUGUUGUUUCUCUUCACUGUAGGUUACAUUUUCCUGAUUCUUUGCACAAUUAGUAAUUUUUAAAAAUUGUAUGCUGAGCAUUUUGGAUGAUAUUAAAAAGACUUUGGAGUCUACUAUCUUCCUUAGAAGAAAUUUGACAUUUGUUCUAUCAAGCAGUUAAAUUACUAGCAUAGUCUUGAUCCUAUAGAGCAAUGCCAUUCAAUAGAACUUCCAUGAUGAUAGAAAUAUUCUGUAGUCUGUGCAGUCCAGUAUCAUAGCCAUUAACUACAUGUGUCUGUGAACAUUUGAAAUGUGGCUAGUGUGUCUGAGGAACUACAUGUUAAAUUUUACUUAGUUUUAAUUAAAUUUGAAAUGCCAUGUGUGCCUAGAAGUUACUAUAUUGCAUAAUGCGGCUAUGAAGAGUUGGUUUUAGGCUUUGUCAGGGUGGGCCUAUCUUGGUUUUGCCUUUAUUCCUAGGACAUAGGCUUUAGUCCUGGGGAGUAGUCAUUACUCCUUCUGUAGUCUCAGUAGAAAGCUUUAGGUGUUCUCCAGAGUCCUCUAACUUGGUGAGAACUAAACCCUAAGCACCAUCUGCUCAACACAAGACAACACCUUUUUAGCCUUCCAGCUGUUAUUUUUCCCUCAGCUCCUUGAACCUCACCCAGAUGCACAGUUUAGGAAUCAGAGAAGUUUGUACACAGAUUUGGGAGCUCCCCAUCUGAGACUCCCUCCUUUGCGAGAUUCCCUCCUUCCCAAUCUCCUGCUACUGUGGAAGCCCCAAAUUCUAACCUCUAACUUUUUAACUCAGUAGAACAGCCACUUUCUGCUGAGCUCUACCUCCGUCCACUGCAGGAAAUGGAUAGCGCUGCUGAAGGAAAACCUGAUAAAUGUGUAUCUCACCAUAUGUGAUUUCCUUUUUUCAAGGGUCAUGUCUUCAGUUUUUGUCUGCAGAACCAAACCAUGUUGGCCAGUUUCAAGAACCUUCAAACAGGUUUUGUUGUUAUCAUUGUGUUUUGGGUCCAGAAUUUACCACUGUCUUUGGCAGAAGGUUUAGUUAGAUAUAAUUUACUUGGCCAUUACUAGAAGUUGAAACUUAUCUGAAUGGCCAAAAUUAGGCACUGAAAUACCGAGUUUGAUGGGAAAACUUGGCUACACUCUCCUCCUAGCAUACACUGCCAUGUCUAUUUGCAUCAGAAGGGGCUCAGUAUUUGCUGAACAAAUCCUGAAAGCUGAAAACUUUCUUGAAGGAGUCAUACUUUGACUUUGAAGCAUUAUCAGUUAUUAAUAAUUUAGAAUGGAGAAUCCUUUCCCGAAAGUGGGUUUUAAUAUGGGUUAAUGAGAAAGAACAGGAGCUUCUUGGGUGUAUCUGUCUUCUUCUCACAAGUGGCAAAAAAUCUGCCAUGACUUUGUCUUAAAUGAAAAGAUAAUUUAUCAACCAGCUUAGGUUAAAAAUUCCACAGUAAGACUGGCUCCAGGCAUAGCUGGAUUUAGGGCUCAUAUAUAGUGUUAUUAGAACACAGGUUUUUUGCUUUUUUGUUCUCAGCUUUCAGAUCUGCCAAUUGCGUUGUUACAAUUAAUCCCAGCUUCCUGUAGCCACAAGAGGAUGGUAGCAGCUUCAGCCACACACCUUCUCUGGUGUACAUUAUAGAGGGAAAAGUGAGACCCUCUUUCCUGGAAGUACCUGGAAAGAUCUCACUGCCUCUCAUAGGUUCCACCUGGGUCAUGUUCCCAUCCCUGAAUUGGUCAUGUGGUCACGAAAUAGGAUAAAAUGAUUGGCCCAGGUGUGACUCACAUGCUCCACCCCACAGUCCAAGAAGUGUCAUUUCAUCAGAUCCCCAAGGACUGAGAGGAGAGUGGGAGAAGUUCUCCUGAUAAAUAUCUUGGUUCUUUGUUAGAGAUAUCCUGGGGCAGAAACAACAGAAGCUCACUAAAAUGGGUACUGGAGGAGAAUGGAACGAAGACGCGUAGUGGGGGUUAAAAGCUUACACACUAGAGAGGCAGAGAACCUAAAAGAGAAAUGCUGACUCUUUCCAUUUUGCCCCUUGGCUCCGGGCUGCUGGAAGCAGGUGCUGUGCGAUAUCACUGCUUCAUGGUUAGCAUGCUUGGGGACCUGCAAUGAGAGAAAUCCAUGAAAUUUACACACUGCAGCGGUAUCUUUAAAAGGUAUCAGGUGGAGAAUAGCUUUUAAUGUGGAAUCCAGGCCCCAAUUAGAGGCUUAUUCCAUUGCUAAAUUUGGUUUGGGUUCAAUGCCCACUGACCUCUUGUCCCUAGAGCAUUUCAACACCGUAAUGAAUACGCAGGAACAAAUCCUCCUUUCCCCUGCCCUUUCUAAUGGUACAUAAUCUCUAUACCAUUAGAAAUCUGAAUUAUUUUUCCAGAUAAAAUUGCCAGGCCCUCCUCUCAAUCCUUUCCAUUAGUGAGGAAGCAAUCCAAGGAAAAAAGAAGCCAGUGCCAAGUGCAGCCAUGCCCUGAAUGUUCACUCGGCUUAGGCAGCAUCUGACCAGCAUCCCCCAAGGCUACAAACCAACUAACAGCUUUUAGGGUAGGGAGAAUUGCCUUUUCUCUCUCCUUCCGGAACACCAGGGAAAACAUAGAGGACCCUAGAGACCAGUGGAAAAACAAAUGUGCCCCUGCGUCUGCACUGGAUGCAAAUGCACAAAUGGCUGAACUUUAAAAGCUUCCAUGUUCCUAACAAGUCUUAGAGCAUUAGAAUUGAUGGUGGUGAUUAGGUUGCUUUUCAGAGCAGCAAAAUCUGUAUAACUGAAUCCUUAUGGGUUUAGCCAUUCUCAGCCCAGGCAUAUUAACUUGGCCCGCUGUGAGUCUGCUUGUGUAUACACACAUGCAGUAUUUAACCAUGAGCGCAGUGGGCCCCAAAUUAAAACCAUAUUUUGUUAGCAUCACAUGUUCCAGCUUUGACAGUAUUUAUCAAAGGGGACGCUGCUGGAUUUAUUGAAAGAAAUGAACUUUGCCAGGGUCUGGCAGACUCAACCCCAGUAGGGAGUUGUUAUUUUUACCCUCUGUGCCCAGCAGUGCUGUUGCUGUUGGCUCAAGGCUGUUUGCUCACUAUGGGCACAGUUUGCUACGUACGGAUCCCUCUCCGCUGGUCCAGUGUGCCUGCCUCCCAGCAGCCUGCACCUCGUGGGAUGUCAUCAGCUCCACCUCCAUGUAUUCUUCAAAACCUUGUUUAUGUUCCCUUCUUUUCUGUGAAGUCUUUGCUACCUAAACCCAAGGUCAUUUCUUCUUCCUCUGAUCUCGCCAGCCUGGGUCCAAGAACAGCUGGUAGAAAUGCAGAUUCUCAGGCUCCACCCCAGACAUCCUAAAUCUGCAUGUUAGCAAGAUCCGUGGGGGCAUUCAAGGGCACAUGGAAGUGUGAGAGGUGCUGCUCUGCCUCCACUUACCAUCUCUACUGGGGUCUCUCAGUGGGAGUCCUGCUACCCCAACAGGGGCAUUGAAAAUGUAGAGAGGAUGUUUUUGACUGUCACAAUGUUGAGUGCUGGCGGGGAGGACUACUAGCAUCCAUCAGUGGGGUCGAUGCUGGACAGCCUGCGAUGUACGGUACACUCUCAUAUAGGGAAGAACUGGUUCAUACGUCACACAACUUUCUAAAGAGCUGCCAGGCAGUCUGGUGGGUGAAAAAAUCUAUUUUUAAUUAUUUGAGCCUGGAACCUAAUUCCUGUUUGCACACAGAGUUUUUUGUUUGUUUGUUUGUUUUUGAGACGGAGUCUGCUCUGUCACCCAGGCUGGAGUGCAGUGGCAUGAUCUUGGCUCACUGCAACCUCCGCUGAGCCACCACACCCAGCCCCCUUUUUAUACCCAAAGUAUUGUUUGCACAGUUUUAAUACACACCAGAUUUCUAGGAACUCAACUUUUGUGAAAAUUCAGGGAAAAGCGUUCUUUGCUUCGUUCAGAACCUUACCUUUAGUCACUGCUUUGGAAACACACAUUAUCCACAGUCACGCUGCUCCCAGUGCAAUCUCCGGGACAAUAUAUCUCUAUUAGUUUGCAUUUGUAGCUAUCCCAGUCAUAGCAGUUUUGUAUCUGACUACUUCAUUGUGGUUUUUGGUGUAAAUGUGCCUGAACAUUUAUAUGUUGAAACACUUUUUUUUUUUUUUUUUGAGACAGAGUCUUGCUCUUGUUGCCCAGACUGGAACGCAACGGUGCGAUCUCGGCUCACUGCAACCUCUGCCUCUUUUUUUGUUAUAAAUUGCUUUUAUUUUAUUUCUUCUUUAUAUCAGAGUUAAGGAAUUUAUUACACUGUCUCUCUCAAAAAAUAAUAAUAAUAAAAAUAAAAAGGGUUUUAUAGGUUGGGAAAGUUGCUUGUGUGUAUAUCCUUCAAAUGGCUCUUGUUACUUAUUGUCUUGUAAUCUUGAAUAUAUUUUUAAGAGACCAUGAAUCAUCUGCCUACUAGAUUAUAAGUAUCCUUAGGGG